CACGUGAGCCUCCUCGCGCGGCCGCAUUACCCCUUCUCUAUCCAAUUUCUCUUUGGAGAAAUACUUCUCCACAGUGCCGCGUCUGAGUGGGAUGGUAAAUUCAAGGGCCAGCUCAGCUGUGAGGGGAGCUGGAGGGAUCCCCGAAUCUCCUUCCGCCAUCUUGAGCAAGGCUCCGAGGAGCUGCUUCUUGACUUUUCCAAGCUGGCUCUUCAGUCUUCCCUCCAAACUUGGGAGAUUUCCCAGAUUUUUCUAAUAUAUUACCCUAUGCUUUAUCUAGCCAGAGUUCAGCUUUUGUUUCUUGAAAUUGAAGACGCCUCCAUCUAUAAGAAAGAUUUACACCAGUGGUAGAAAAGAGUGGGAAGCAAGUCUUGUGGCGAGAUGGUGCCAUCCCGUAUUAAGAACUUUCGCAGCAGAAUGCCCAAAAUAUGUGGCAGGGUUGCGGUAAAGUCUUCAAAGCAGGCUGUUUCUCAGUCGCUGCGUGUGUUCAGUCAUGGGACUGUUUCCUUGGUAAGUGUCAUUCCUGCGGAAUGGGGCUGAACAAGGAACCUUCAGUUAUGUCAAAAACUGAUGAUUCCCACUGUCGCCACCAGAGGAUGUUCUAGGCACGUUUUUGUCAGCGCAGCUCACGUUGACUAAAAUAGCCAAUCCUUCCAACAGAAGUAGCAUAACGGCUCUGAGGAUGUGGAAAAUCUCAAUGUCAACAGCAGCUCGUAAAAUGGAAAAGAACAUGGCAUCAGCUAUGUGUUUAGAAAAGUCUGAGGCAUUUAGCCUAACUGUUCUUGAAUCAUUACCAUGAUACUGACAAGCAAAGUAUUUCUGAGGAACCUGUCGUAUUUAGGCCUUGACUGCAUGGCUAAUAGAGAAAAUAGCUUAGGCUACCCACACACCACAGUUCUUUUCAAGGUUUGGAAAGCAGCCAUUUUGGUUGAUACAUUUUUAAAAAUUAUUAUUUUAUUGCCUUAAUUCUUGUGCUGAGACUUGGGUAGGUAGAGACAAAGAAGAGAAAAAAGGAUUUUUUUUUAAAAGGGGAAUU
rnacentral:lncRNA from 1 species